rnacentral:snRNA from 1 species
AUGCUCACUUUGGCAGCACGUAUACUAAAAUUGGAACGAUACGGAGAAGAUUAGCAUGAUGUCCCGAAAAAGAAUAAACAAAUAAAUUUGUCU